GAUGAACGCUGGCGGCGUGCUUAAUACAUGCAAGUCGAACGAAAAGGCGAUGCGCUUGCGCGUUGCUCGUGUGGCGCACGGGUGAGUGUCACGCGAGUAUCCUGCCCUUGACUGUGGGAUAACACUAGGGAACAGCGGCUAAUACCGGAUAUGAUCUCCUGCUGCGUAGUGUGGGUUGGUGAGUUUCGGCGGUUGGGGAUAGACUAGCGGGUUAUGAGCUGGAUGGUGGGGUAGUUGCAUACCAAGUCUGUGAAGGGUAGCCCGCCUGAGAGGUUGACCGGGCACAAUGGGACUGAGGUACGGCCCAGACGGCAACGUUAGGCAGCAGUGGGGAAUAUGACACAAUGGGCGGAAGCCUGAUGCAGCAGCGCCGCGUUCGUGAUGACGUCCUUCUGGUUGUAAACCGCUGUCUCCUGUGACGAAGCGUGAUUGACGGUAAUGGGUAAAGAAGCACCGGCUAACUACGUG
rnacentral:rRNA from 1 species